rnacentral:rRNA from 1 species
AACGAACGCUGGCGGCAUGCCUAACACAUGCAAGUCGAACGAGACCUUCGGGUCGAGUGGCGCACGGGUGCGUAACGCGUGGUAACCUGCCCUUAGGUUCGGAGUAACUCCCCGAAAGGGGUGCUAAUAUCGGAUAAUGUCUCCGGACCAAAGAUUUAUCGCCCUUGGAUGGGCCCGCGUUGGUUUAGCUAGUUGGUAGGGUAAAAGCCUACCAAGGCGACGAUCCAUAGCUGGUCUGAGAGGAAGAUCAGCCACACUGGGACUGAGACACGGCCCAGACUCCUACGGGAGGCAGCAGUGGGGAAUAUUGGACAAUGGGCGAAAGGCUGAUCCAGCAAUGCCGGGUGAGUGAUGAAGGCCUUAGGGUUGUAAAGCUCUUUUACCCGGGAUGAUAAUGACAGUACCGGGAGAAUAAGCUCCGGCUAACUCCGUG